rnacentral:rRNA from 1 species
UACGUAGGGUGCAAGCGUUGUCUGGAAUUAUUGGGCGUAAAGGGUGCGUAGGCGGUUUGACAAGUCUGAUGUGAAAUCUAUGGGCUCAACCCAUAGCCUGCAUCGGAAACUGUCGGACUUGAGUAUGGGAGAGGUGAGUGGAAUUUCCGGUGUAGCGGUGAAAUGCGUAGAUAUCGGAAGGAACACCUGUGGCGAAAGCGGCUCACUGGACCACAACUGACGCUGAGGCGCGAAAGCUAGGGGAGCAAACAGG